UUCCCUCUGUUGGGAUCCGAGAGGUUGUGAGGUACUGAAUCCCUUAUGUUCAUCAACCAGGGGGUCAAUCUUCGGCGUGGUGUGUAGGCCCGACUAGCAUCAUCGGGAUACCUAAAGCGCUGAACACCGGCUCCCACCUAGCUGACGCUAGGGGUUCAACCCCAACCACGGCCCGGACGGUACGGAA
rnacentral:other from 1 species